GCCUGGGUGGCUCAGUUGGUUAAGCAUCUGACUUUGGCUCAGGUCAUGAUCUCACGGUUUGUGGGUUUGAGCCCCGCGUCGGGCU
rnacentral:tRNA from 1 species